CAAAUUAGAGCUUGUUAAAGUAUUUCAUUUACAUUGAAAAGAUAUUAUAAUUAUAAUUAAUUUGU
rnacentral:tRNA from 1 species